UACGUAGGGUGCAAGCGUUGUCCGGAAUUAUUGGGCGUAAAGAGCUUGUAGGCGGUUUGUCGCGUCUGCUGUGAAAUUUCGGGGCUCAACCCCGAACUUGCAGUGGGUACGGGCAGACUAGAGUGCGGUAGGGGAGACUGGGAUUCCUGGUGUAGCGGUGGAAUGCGCAGAUAUCAGGAGGAACACCGGUGGCGAAGGCGGGUCUCUGGGCCGUAACUGACGCUGAGGAGCGAAAGCAUGGGGAGCGAACAGG
rnacentral:rRNA from 1 species